GACGAACGCUGGCGGCGUGCCUAAUACAUGCAAGUCGAGCGGACUUAAAAAGCUUGCUUUUUAAGUUAGCGGCGGACGGGUGAGUAACACGUGGGCAACCUGCCUGUAAGACUGGGAUAACUUCGGGAAACCGGAGCUAAUACCGGAUAAUCCUUUUCUACUCAUGUAGAAAAGCUGAAAGACGGUUUACGCUGUCACUUACAGAUGGGCCCGCGGCGCAUUAGCUAGUUGGUGAGGUAACGGCUCACCAAGGCGACGAUGCGUAGCCGACCUGAGAGGGGGAUCGGCCACACUGGGACUGAGACACGGCCCAGACUCCUACGGGAGGCAGCAGUAGGGAAUCUUCCGCAAUGGACGAAAGUCUGACGGAGCAACGCCGCGUGAGUGAUGAAGGUUUUCGGAUCGUAAAACUCUGUUGUUAGGGAAGAACAAGUACGAGAGUAACUGCUCGUACCUUGACGGUACCUAACCAGAAAGCCACGGCUAACUACGUG
rnacentral:rRNA from 1 species